AUUGAACGCUGGCGGCAUGCCUUACACAUGCAAGUCGAACGGCAGCACGGGAGCAAUCCUGGUGGCGAGUGGCGAACGGGUGAGUAAUGUAUCGGAACGUGCCCAGUCGUGGGGGAUAACGUAGCGAAAGCUACGCUAAUACCGCAUACGAUCUAUGGAUGAAAGCGGGGGAUCACAAGACCUCGCGCGAUUGGAGCGGCCGAUAUCAGAUUAGGUAGUUGGUGGGGUAAAGGCUCACCAAGCCGACGAUCUGUAGCUGGUCUGAGAGGACGACCAGCCACACUGGGACUGAGACACGGCCCAGACUCCUACGGGAGGCAGCAGUGGGGAAUUUUGGACAAUGGGCGCAAGCCUGAUCCAGCAAUGCCGCAUGCAGGAUGAAGGCCUUCGGGUUGUAAACUGCUUUUGUACGGAACGAAACGGCGAGCUCUAAUACAGUUUGCUAAUGACGGUACCGUAAGAAUAAGCACCGGCUAACUACGUGCCAGCCGCCGCCGUAA
rnacentral:rRNA from 1 species